GUGUGUCCCGUGGCCUGCUGCUCAGAAGAGUUGAACUCAGAGUUAUAUUGAGCUCUAACAGCUCGGUAAAUGUUGAUGAGAUGUGGAGACAGCAGGUAAAAACAGAGGAAGAAGAGAAGUCGGAGGAUUUUAUGUCUGCUGAUCAGGAACAGACAGAAAACAACAUGAAUAUACAGAUAGAAGCUGUUUACAGCCUCAGCCAUCAGCUGCAGACAUCAGAAUUUGGCGUUGUCGAGGGGCAGCUUCGAGGACCAGAAGAUUGCCUGCAGCAGUCGACUGUUUUUCUCGGAGAUCCACCGGAAAAUGGAGGCUGACAAAGCUGACCUGUCUUUCUCUGCUGAUCGUCUCCGGGUUUUGUGAUCUGUCCUUACUUCGGCCGCUGUGGGUAACCUUUUGGGACUGGAGCUGAGAAAAGAACCUGUCUGUUGGCAGAAACACGGGGAGUUUGGUUUUCCUGAUGGUCCUCCGCUCUUUCCGAGUCCACUCCCAACCGCCGAGACCCGAGACCUGGACCGAUGAUGGACACAUGUGGACAAAUGGACAGCGAUGCUGAGACCAGCAGACUGUAUAAAGGCCAGCACUAAGAAGAUCAUCCACUGCCCAGCACCAUGAAGGCGAGAUAACAUUGUCAUUUCUGCCUGUUUGCCCAACACUAACCCACCCCGCAAAAUUCUUUAAACAUGCAACAGCAGCAAAAGACCUUGGGAUCGAGUGACUGUUAUCUGUCCAGCUGCGGAGAAGACUGUGAAAGUUGAUGAAACAAAGCUUCAAAGUCUGAUAUUCACUGAGCCCAGCAGCUGUUGCCACUCUACAGCACCCCGUCGUCGGAUCAAUCAGCCUAACGCUACAUUAGGUUGAUUUUGCUGUUUCUGACAAGCUGUGACAAAUGGCAACAUCAACAAUAAAGUUCUGCAAAACAUCGGCAUAAGUGACCGUCACAAGACUGAUGUGGGAAGACAAGAGAGAGGGGGUGGAGCGGGGCUCUCUGGCAGGGCUUCACGGCAUCAUCGCCUCAAUCAAUGCUAACGAGCACACCUGUGGAUGGCCAGGGUGGUCUUAUGGAUCCAAGUCCACCAGGUAUGGAGUGAUGACCUUGACCAGGCUGGGUUCUGGUGGGGAAGAGUGGGCACGGAUUGAGUCAGACGGCCAGCCAGCCACCCCCACCCCAAUGGAGAAAAGAUGAGUAAACUCACACGCACGCUGUCAUAUGUUCUGUAAAAGAAACUUUUUCUUUCUUUUAUUUUUUAUUGAAUGAAUAGUAAAAGAUAUGAAAAAAAAACAAGACCGUAGCUGCUCUGAAAGUAUGAACUUUGACAAAGUAAGAUGUUGAUCAAACUAUCUGGCAUUAUUUUUAAAGAAUGUUUUGAUAACAAGUGUAGAAGUUUUUUCUAUAAUCCUUUUUGUUUCUGUGUUUGUUUCUGGGUUUUGUCUGCUGAUCGUCUCCGGGUUUUGUGAAUCUGUCAUGCCCCGACCGCUGUGGGUAGUCUUUGGGGACUGGAGCUGAAAAGAACCUGACUGUCGACAGAAAAACUAUGAGCUAAUAUUUUCAUUAGCACCUUAUGCUAAAGAGCUGCGGCUAAUUUUUCGGCCUGCACACAUUGAAAUUAUAAUUUUUAGACGCUGGUCUGGUUUUUCUGAGGCUGAAAUGAUGCUAGCUGAAUGUAGGUGUGGGAACGAUUCAUUCCACAUCGAGUUUAAAAAGCAGGGAGCUCAGUUUUCUGUUUUUUUAUGUAGCCUUGAUGACUGUGUUGUCUAUGGUGAGCGUGGGCAGUGUAGGAAUGAGUUACUUAUGCAAAUAAGCUCACCUUACAUCUUCCCAUAACUAAGUUAUGAGAGUAAAUUUUACCAAGGUUUUCCUCAUUACUUUAAUAUUUGUCUGUGCAAAGUGAAGUGACACAAU